GUAGACCUACGGGAGGCAGCAGUGAGGAAUAUUGGUCAAUGGCCGGAAGGCUGAACCAGCCAAGCCGCGUGAGGGAAGACGGCCCUAUGGGUUGUAAACCUCUUUUGUCGGAGAACAAAACCCGGGACGUGUCCCGGACUGCGUGUAUCCGAAGAAAAAGCAUCGGCUAACUCCGUGCCAGCAGCCGCGGUAAUACGGAGGAUGCGAGCGUUAUCCGGAUUUAUUGGGUUUAAAGGGUGCGUAGGCGGUCCGUUAAGUCAGCGGUAAAAUUGCGGGGCUCAACCCCGUCGAGCCGUUGAAACUGG
rnacentral:rRNA from 1 species